rnacentral:rRNA from 1 species
AGUGAACGCUGGCGGUAGGCCUAACACAUGCAAGUCGAACGGCAGCACAGUAAGAGCUUGCUCUUACGGGUGGCGAGUGGCGGACGGGUGAGGAAUACAUCGGAAUCUACUUUUUCGUGGGGGAUAACGUAGGGAAACUUACGCUAAUACCGCAUACGACCUACGGGUGAAAGCAGGGGAUCUUCGGACCUUGCGCGAUUGAAUGAGCCGAUGUCGGAUUAGCUAGUUGGCGGGGUAAAGGCCCACCAAGGCGACGAUCCGUAGCUGGUCUGAGAGGAUGAUCGGCGACAUUGGAACGGAGACACGGACCAGACUCCUACGGGAGGCAGCAGUGGGGAAUAUUGGACAAUGGUCGCAAGCCUGGUCCAGCCAUACCGCGUGGGUGAAGAAGGCCUUCGGGUUGUGAAGCCCUUUUGUUGGGAAAGAAAAGCAGCAGGUUAAUACCCCGCUGUUCUGACGGUACCCAAAGAGUAAGCACCGGCUAACUUCGUG